UGGGGAAUAUUGGGCAAUGGGCGAAAGCCUGACCCAGCAACGCCGCGUGAGGGAAGAAGGUUUUCGGAUUGUAAACCUCUGUCCUUGGGGACGAAAAAAAUGACGGUACCCAAGGAGGAAGCCCCGGCUAACUACGUGCCAGCAGCCGCGGUAAUACGUAGGGGGCGAGCGUUGUCCGGAAUUAAUGGGCGUAAAGGGUGCGUAGGCGGUUGUCUAAGUCAGAUGUGAAAUCCCCGGGCUCAACUCGGGUGGUGCAUUUGAAACUGGGCAACUAGAGUGCAGGAGAGGGAAGCGGAAUUCCUAGUGUAGCGGUGAAAUGCGUAGAUAUUAGGAGGAACACCAGUGGCGAAGGCGGCUCUCUGGCCUGUUUCUGACGCUGAGGCGCGAAAGCGUGGGGAGCGAACGGG
rnacentral:rRNA from 2 species